GACGAACGCUGGCGGCGUGCCUAAUACAUGCAAGUCGAGCGGACGGAUGGGAGCUUGCUCCCAGACCGUCAGCGGCGGACGGGUGAGUAACACGUGGGCAACCUGCCUGUAAGACUGGGAUAACUCCGGGAAACCGGGGCUAAUACCGGAUAACUCUUUCCCUCACAUGAGGGAAAGCUGAAAGAUGGCAUCUCGCUAUCACUUACAGAUGGGCCCGCGGCGCAUUAGCUAGUUGGUGAGGUAACGGCUCACCAAGGCGACGAUGCGUAGCCGACCUGAGAGUGUGAUCGGCCACACUGGAACUGAGACACGGCCCAGACUCCUACGGGAGGCAGCAGUAGGGAAUCUUCCGCAAUGGACGAAAGUCUGACGGAGCAACGCCGCGUGAGUGAUGAAGGUUUUCGGAUCGUAAAACUCUGUUGUCAGGGAAGAACAAGUACCGGAGUAACUGCCGGUACCUUGACGGUACCUGACCAGAAAGCCACGGCUAACUACGUG
rnacentral:rRNA from 1 species